rnacentral:lncRNA from 1 species
UGAGUAUUCUUGCCACCUCUUCUGAAUUGUCUACAGGUGUUCUUUUUUUUUUUUUCCCCCUGCUAAAAAGGCUGGGCUGACCUGUUGCUAUAGAAACUGUAGUGCCCCCAAAGCCUAAGAUAUUUACUAUCUGGCUUUUUAAAGAAAAAGUUUGUCUACCUCUCCUAGUGACCUGAAGUUACUUAACACCACCUCAGGGGCUGUUUCUAAAAUCAUCUUGUUAUCACCGGUUGUACAUGUAACUCACACACUGAAAAGUUCUGUUCUGCGAGUGAGCAUAGCUAAAGACUGGUUUUGGUUUUGAGUUUGGUUGUGGUUUUGAGUCCCACAAAAAGCAAUAAAGCUUGAGAAAAAUGCAUGUCCCUUUGGGAAAUGACAAUACCAAGAGGAAACAAAUAUUGUACAGAAAUAUAUAUGGUGUAUAGUAAUAUAUCCAAAUUCCUGGCUCUCUGGCCUGACUAGGAAUAUGAACAGAGUUAAGUUUGCUGGUGGUUUGUUCCUGCUCUGUGAAAGACUGGGCUGUUUAUCUACAUGUAAUCAUUUUUUUUUUUCCUCUCCAAGUAAACAUUAAAAUCCAUUCCACCAAACAAUGUUUUUAUGUGGCCCAGUUUCACUUAACACAACUUAUGAGAACUCUUCACACACACCCAGAGACUGAGAAAGGACCCAAUUCUCAAAAAUGUAGGAAAGAAAAAUAAAUAAUUAGCAAGCUCUGUCGGCACCAAGACUCCACCCACUAAGCUCCUUGAAGGCACAACAAACUAAGAAAGCAAAGCAGUGACACAGUGAAUGGGUGCAUCCUGAAAUCAUCUCCCAUGAAAAUGAGACCAUGUUAAUUGUUACGGAAAAGCAGUCAGGAGCACAAUUUGCCACUAAUUUGUCUAAGUUAGUCAUGAAAAACAUACCUGAGCCACAGCUACUCCUCUGGAGAGGGAGGCUCCUCUCUCGUGGGUGCUGGAUCUGGUAGUUCGAGAGAAUCAUGUGGGGGCGGGGCUUAAAAGCCGGAGUCCCAGGCCACGCCCCCAACCAAUUAACCGGUAUUGGAGGUGCCUGGGGCUGUCCAGGUGAUUCCAAUGUGCAGCCAGCGCUGAGAGCCAUUCUUCACAGUGAUUCCUCCUGCCCUGAUGCCCACAAGAUUGUAAAAUGAGCUCAUAUGGGAUGAUAAAUUGAACCAAAUGAGCACAGAGGAGGUAGGGUGAAUAAGGGGAGCUCUGGAGAGAGGUCGACUUAGAAAGUUAAUGAUUUUUGCGGAUCUCUGGUAGUACUAGGGCUUACCUGGUGCCUCAGA